CCUACGGGUGGCAGCAGUGGGGAAUAUUGGACAAUGGGCGAAAGCCUGAUCCAGCCAUGCCGCGUGUGUGAAGAAGGCCUUCGGGUUGUAAAGCACUUUCAGUGGGGAAGAAAGCCUUGGGGCUAAUACCCUCGAGGAAGGACAUCACCCACAGAAGAAGCACCGGCUAACUCCGUGCCAGCAGCCGCGGUAAUACGGAGGGUGCGAGGUUAAUCGGAAUUACUGGGCGUAAAGCGCGCGUAGGCGGUCUGAUAAGCCGGUUGUGAAAGCCCCGGGCUCAACCUGGGAACGGCAUCCGGAACUGUCAGGCUAGAGUGCAGGAGAGGAAGGUAGAAUUCCCGGUGUAGCGGUGAAAUGCGUAGAGAUCGGGAGGAAUACCAGUGGCGAAGGCGGCCUUCUGGACUGACACUGACGCUGAGGUGCGAAAGCGUGGGUAGCAAACAGGAUUAGAUACCCUAGUAGUC
rnacentral:rRNA from 1 species